UGGGCCCUGAAGGUAGGAUCCCACCAGCCUUCUGAGAAGGAAGGAGCUUGGCUCCGUAGCAACUAGUAGAUUUUGCCUCAUAUUUCCCUGGGCCAGGCUCAGCCAAGUUCUAGGAAUACCCAGAAGCUCUAAAUGGAUUCUAUGGCACCGGGGAACCUGAGCAGGAAGGCUUCCCUGGCCUAGGAAUGAAUCACCACUCUUCAGACUCUUGAACUGGUUGGCACUCACUUUAUUACCCCAGUCCCACCUUCCUUAUCCCUCAGGGCUUUCCAGACAGCUCCACCCUGCCCGCCCCCGCUGCCCACUCCCUUCAUCUGUGUCCUAGGAGAACCCCAGCUCCUUCUCCCCACCCCCCAACUUUGUUCCAAGACUCCUCCUCUCCCCAUGGUCCCCCCUCCAUUGCAUUUCCUCCCUGUCUGCACUGUUCAGUUCAGUCCCCCACUGGGCCCUGGCCCAGGCUCUUCCCAGCUCCUUUCCAGGCCGAGCUCUUCUCCCUCCUUUUUUAACCACUAAGGGAUGGGCUAGGAUGGUGACAUAUCUGAGCCUAAAAGAAAAACUUAGGCAGUGGUAGAAACGGGAUGAGGAGAGUGAGAAGAGAAGCCAGGGCCUACCCCCUCCAAUUCCUCCCCUACCUGAGGGCCGGGCUCACAAUUCAGCUUCAGGGAGCAUCACACACACCCCACCACCAUCCCUCACCCCAGCUCCCUCUCUGGCCCCAGUCCCCCACGACCCACCCGUCUCCAGGCAACGGCACAAAAGGAAAGUGGAGAGAGGGGCCUGGGAGGCCCAGGCAGAGCUAGCUGUAACCCAAUCCAAGCCAGUACCUGAGGGGUUGGGGUGUGGGGGGCAUGAGAAGGCGACCUAGCAAGGAGGAAAGGGCAGAGGUUAGGAAAUGUGGCUCCGACCAGGAGUUACUGAAGAAAGAUGGAUAUAAUGGACCCUAGAGAAAAGUACGGUGUGCCCCCAAGGGAAACAGAGAGGGGCACCAGGAGACAGCAGAGAAGGGAAAGCUGAGAUGCCCGCGCUGGAAUGAAGAGGCACAGAGGCCGGGGCGAGAAACUCUUCGACUGAAAAGGGCUGAGUUGUCAGCAACACAGAAGGAGAAAAGCAGAGAAACGGGUCCUGCCCAUACAGAACGGGAAUCCUCUUCCAGUCCUGGAGCUGGGCAGGAUAGCAGAGGGGGCCCAGGACCAGAACUCAGAGAAGAAACAGAGUGGGAGGCCCACAGAGGGAGCAGCCUUGCAAUUCCUCCCACCCUCGCCCUGGAGCCAGUGCAGUCAACAGCCUACAGAAGCUUGACUCCCUCUAGUGGCCACAGCUUCCCCCAGCCCCUGCCGGCUCCGCCCGUGUAUCCGAGCCCUGGAGGGGGCUCCCCCUCCCCCCUCCUCCCCGGUUGUUCCUGGGUUCCCAUCUCAAUGCUGGGGCUCCGCUGGAGCUGAAGGGUGAUAGUGCGUCUCCCCAGCCACACACUGGCAACCUUCUCGCAGGCUGACCCAGGGAGGGGCCCGUUGAGUACCCCAGGUCCUGAAUCUCCAGUUUACUGGAAGGCUGUUUCCUCAGGCUUCUGUACCCCCAGUACCAUUCUUCCCUCGCUCCAUGGUACCAUUCUUCCCUCGUACCAUCCUUUCCUCCCCGGGUCCCCACCUUGCAAGGGGUGCUGCCCAGGCAGUGCUGGUCCAUCCCAGAAGCAGCCAGGACUUGGUCUGGGAGAGGCCCAGUGCCGGAGCUGCUCCAGCCCACAGCUUUAUCCCUUCUCUGGUCAAGGCCCUUGGUGAAUCUGCAAACCCUUUGGAUCCCUUUCUCCAAAAAUGCAUAUACACACACAAUUUUUGAUACUUUUAGGAAUUCUGGGACCCCAGGUUAAGAACCCCUAAUUCACCUGGGUCCUGGGGCCAGGCUUGCUGCUGACAAGGCAGGGCAAUGUGCUCCCUACCUGGCCAGGGUGAGGUAGGCAAUGCCAUCCUCCUGGCCUAUUUGUUGGGUUUCUUCCUCUUUCUGUGCCCUCCCCAGCUCUGCUAUCCAGUUUCACCAACUUCCAGGAGCUCCAUCUUCUCUCCCCUCGUGUGGACGAGAGUAAGACUCCUCAGACACAGUAAUGCACGGUGACUCAGACUUUAAUGGUGGUGCUCAUUUCAACGCCACAGAGGUGCUGGCAGCUGUGGAACACGGCACGGGGGAGUGAGACGGUGCUCAGGUGCAGCUGCAGGAAGAACGAACGAGGGGGAAACGGGCUGGGGAGAGAGGGACAGGGGAGGAGCCCCGGGCACACAGCCCCACCUCUGGACCGAGCCAGGCUGCGGUUAAGGCUUGGCACGCACACAGGAACCCUCAUCGAGGCCCCUUUCUGUGACCCUUCCCGUUCCAGCAAGACCCCCACCCCAGGCCAUCUCAGAAUCUACAGUCACAUGAAAUACAGACACAUGGUCCCGUCCAGUCAGGCCAGUUUCUGGCCCUGGAGUUAUGAGGAAGUGAAUCAUUAACAGGAUGAAUGAAAAAUAAAUAAAUGAAUAAAUAAUAUAUCAGCGCCUUAGGCCAGGCCUGAGCACGCAGCCAGCGCGCCCCUCCACUCAGCACUGCGCAGUUCCUGCCUCAUACGCAACCUGGAAACGAACAGACCCAGCGCAAAGCACACAUGACACAUGGCCCCUCUACCCACCGCAACAACCAACCCUGACGCUCCGGCACAGACCCUGAUCGGUCUUCCGUGGAUGCCCUUACAUCCUCAGUCCGUGGCCAGUUUUUGAGGAGGGAGAAGAGAAAGGAAGGAGGAGUGGAGAGUGUGGAACCCAGAGUGGGCGAGAGCGGAGACAGCAGGGGCUGGACCAGCCAAGGAGCAGCGCAGCAGGUCAGCCGGGGUGUCUGGGGUGAAAUUUCGAGCAGGACCGGAAAGAAGAGGUUCCAGGAGGACGGGCGAGGGGUUCCAAGUCUCCAGGCAGGUAGAGGGAUCACAGCACGCUGGGAUUGCGGAAAUUAUGUCCGGCGAAGCGAGCUUCGUCCCCCAGCUCUUCUUCGAUUCUGAGAGAGGAACCGGAAACCAACUGCCUCCAUCCAGGGGUAAAAGCCACUGGGGGACCUAGAGAGGGUGAUUCAGCACCUCCUCAUCCACGUCACGUCCAGCUCCAUUCAGCAUCCAGUCUUCUUUGUUGUUGUCUUGUUUUGUUUUGUUUUUUGCCACACUGGUGGCUUAUGGGAUCUUAGUUCCCUGACCAGGGAUUGAACCCGUGCCCUCGGCAGUGAAAGCACAGUCCUAACCACUGGACCGCCAGGGAAUUCCCCAGCAUCCAGUUUUAUCAACCAGAGAUCCUGAACUGUGCUAGUUCCAGUCACCCUCUCACCAUGCCUGGUUCCUCCCAAACCCGCCCCCUGAUCCCAGCAGCUUCAGAGAUCACGACUUUAAUCAGGGUCCAAAGCAGAUGGAACAGAUUCACCACAGGGAUCGAACCGCAGCCCCUGCAUUGGAAGCGUGGACUCUUAACCACUGGACCACCAGGGAAGUCCCAUAGUUCUGUUUUUUUGUUUGUUUGUUUUGUUUUAAAUAGCUAUAAUUUAUUGAGGGUUUAACUAUGUCACCUGAGCACUUACACAUAUGAUCUCAUUUAAUCCUCACAAUGAUGCUAAGAGGUAGAUACUGUUGUUAUUCCCAUUUUACAGAUGAGAAAGACAAGCACAGAGAAGUUAAGUGAGCAAGAUCACCAGCCAGUAACUCUUCAAGUCAAGCAUGCAGGAUCCGACCAGGGAUCGUACCCGUACCCCCUGGAGUGGAAGCUCAUGCACAGAGUCCUAACCACUGGACCUCCAGGGAAGUCCCAGGUCAUCCUUCCUAAGAAGCCCCCCACAGCGCUGGCCCCUCAGUUCUCCAUCUGCUCCCUCCAGGGCCUCAUAGAUACCGGUGGAGGCUCCACUGGGCACCGCAGCCCGGAAAAGCCCUGGGAGGGGAACGUGGAAUGAGGAUGGAGAGAGAGGACACCACAGGGACCAGGGAUUCUUCAGCCUUCCAGCUCUACGCCCCUGCAGCCGCAUCCAGUCUUCUUCCCACAGCGCUCCUUAACAACCCCCCGCCCCCCGACCCGGACACACGCACGGAGGCGGAUGCACAAGCAGUGGCCUCCUCAUCCACCCAACUGAGGUCCCACAGGCGCAAGUGGGAACCCACAGAAACGAAGCUAUGCAGGCAGCACACAUGGUGCCCGCACACACGGCACACACACGCACACACGGUGAACACAGAGGGCAGAGGCAGGGUGUAUCACACACUAAACCAGCACACAGAGACCGGCCUAUCCUGGCUCCCCUGGACAAGGAGGACCCACCCCGCCCCGCUCCAGGCUCGUGAGCCUGGCCCAGCACCUCAUCCCCACUGGGAGUCCCCGGGGAGCCUCCCAUGCCAGGCGAGGGCAAAGCCAGCAUGGGGGCUGUGGGAAGGCCCUGCCCAUUACCUUUGGCAGUGUAGAGAUCCACCUCCACCGUGGGAUUCCCACGGGAGUCCAGGAUCUCCCGGGCCCAGAUCUUCUCUAUGGACAUGAUGGCUGGGAUCUCCUUGGGUGGAAGGGAAGGAAGGAAAAAGAGAUGUACAGUAGAGAAGUCUGCGGAGAGGGUCCUCAGUCUCUGGGGGUUGCCGUGGGGAGGGACGAGGACGAAGAGAGACCCGUGGGGAGAGGCACAGCUGGGCCGGUCCUCCCCCGGCCCCUAGACAAAUUCUCCCUUCUUCCCAUCCCUCCCCGGUGCAGUGGAAACACUGUAACCGGAGUGGGCGACGCGGGAGAGGAGCGGGAGAGGGGCGUCUAGAGGAAGUCUGCGGAUGCCGAGGAAGGAGGCCCUUGUCCAGGCGCUCGAGAUACGCCAUCUGCACCAGGGCCUCCUGGCGGUAGUCGUUCUCGUCCGUACACGGGUUGUCCAGCAGCACCAAGGCUCGCAGCUUGGGCAGGUCCCGCAGCUUGGCGAGCUCCCCCAGGUCUUUGGCCCCAGGGGCACCUCCCAGCCACUGAGACAACCCCUCCGCCCCACACUUACUUCCAAACAUCCCUGGUAAAUAGCCACUGAGGAAGGUCCAUUAUCCCUGUCUAGACCCUUAACAAGAAAACAAUACCCCCUGCACCCUACCAGACCAAGGGGGCAGAGCUAAUUAGCAAGAGAUCACUCCAGCAGUCAAAGCAGGACUUUGGGCUUCCAGGUACAACCACCACUCCCUACUUGGAGACUCUUUUUCCAUUGCCAGCCUGGAGGAUUUGUCUUUGUUGACGAAGGAGGCAAUUUCCUUACAUCUUUGCUUAAAGAUACACACAUAAAAUCCUCCAUCCGACAAGAGUUGCUGCAAGAAAAUCGCCCCUGAUCCUCAGUGCCUUUCCAUCUAGAGAUUUUCUUUUAAAUACUCUUCUCGCCUCAAAUCUGAGCACGGGGACUUCCCUGGUGGCGCAGUGGUUAAGAAUCCGCCUGCCAAUGCAGGGGACACGUGUUCAAGCCCUGGUCUGGGAAGAUCCCACACACCGCGGAGCAACUAAGCCCGUGCGCCACAACUACUGAGCCUGCGUCCUAGAGCCCGCGAGCCACAACUACUGAGCCCGCGUGCCACAACUACUGAAGCCAGCGUGCCUAGAGCCUGUGCUCCACAACAAGAGAAGCCACCACAAUAAGAAGCCCGUGCACCUCAAUGAAGAGUAGCCCGCGCUCGCCGCAACUAGAGUAAGCCCGCGCAGCAACGAAGACCCAACGCAGCCAAAAAUAAAUAAAUCAAUAAAUAAAUUUAUGGGAAAAAAACCCCAAAACAAAUCUGA